UACGGGGGGAGCAAGCGUUGUUCGGAUUUACUGGGCGUAAAGGGCGCGUAGGCGGCCUGUGCAAGUCAGUUGUGAAAUCUCCGGGCUUAACCCGGAAAGGUCAGCCGAAACUGCGGGGCUAGAGUGCAGAAGGGGCAACUGGAAUUCUCGGUGUAGCGGUGAAAUGCGUAGAUAUCGAGAGGAACACCUGCGGCGAAGGCGGGUUGCUGGGCUGACACUGACGCUGAAGCGCGAAAGCUAGGGGAGCGAACGGG
rnacentral:rRNA from 1 species